GACGGAGGGUGCAAGCGUUAAUCGGAAUUACUGGGCGUAAAGGGCUCGUAGGCGGCCAACUAAGUCAGACGUGAAAUCCCUCGGCUUAACCGGGGAACUGCGUCUGAUACUGGAUGGCUUGAGUUUGGGAGAGGGAUGCGGAAUUCCAGGUGUAGCGGUGAAAUGCGUAGAUAUCUGGAGGAACACCGGUGGCGAAGGCGGCAUCCUGGACCAACACUGACGCUGAGUGAGCGAAGCCAGGGAGCAACGGG
rnacentral:rRNA from 1 species